ensembl:lincRNA
CUUCUCAAGAUAGAUUUGCAUAUAGUUGACUUUUAAAGAAAAAAGGAACUAAAAAAAGAAAAAAAAAAAGGAACUGAGAAUCCCCAGACCCUUAAGUAGGAGGGAACUCAGCAGAAGCUACGAAGUCCUGGCUGCCAUUCGCAGCUCCUUAUGCUACCCACAGCCAUGUACAGCCUGUACACCAACACCAAGCACCAAGCAGGUACGGCUGCAGCGAACUGGGGUUGGGACCAGGGCCUGAGGGCUGAAGGAAGGAAUGGGCUGGGACCUGACUGGCCUUUUCUCUGGAAGGGCCCACGGAGAAGGAGGAGGAUGGAGAGGACUAUGAGAACUCAGCACCCCUCUAUAAGGACCUUCCUCCAAAGCCAGGUUCAGUGGCACCACCGAGGCCACCCAAGGCAGGUGAGCUGGGGCUGGGGAUACAGAAGACCCAGGGCUAGUUUUGCCCUGCUCUGGGCCUGAGCAAUCAUUCUUCCUUUGGCAGGAAAGAAAGUGGAGAACUCCCCUCUUCCUCGAAAGCCCC